ACAUGGGAGGGAUGCUGCUGUGACCUCUGCUGUUCAUCACCUCCAGGGUUGAAAUCAGCUGGGUAGGCGGAGGUUUUUUUCUCCCUCACGGCUCUUCGCAUCCUCCAGGAGCCGUGCACUCAGUCGAAGAGGAUGCCCUUCUCCAUAGAUGAGGACUGCUCUUUGGCCAAGGACUGCGCCUUCCUGCUGGAGCUGCCCAGCAAGCUAAAGGUCUGGCUCCGCU
rnacentral:sRNA from 1 species